rnacentral:rRNA from 1 species
AAUGAUGAUUAUAGCAAUAGGGGAACACCUCUUCCCAUUCCGAACAGAGAAGUUAAGCCUAUUCACGCCAAUGGUACUGUAAUAAAAUGCGGGAGAGUAGGAAGUUGUCAUUA